AGGGUAGUCUAGUGGUUAGAGUGUAGAGGUGGCAGGGUAGUCUAGUGGUUAGAGUGUAGAGGUGGCAGGGUAGUCUAGUGGUUAGAGUGUAGAGGUGGCAGGGUAGUCUAGUGGUUAGAGUGUAGAGGUGGCAGGGUAGUCUAGUGGUUAGAGUGUAGAGGCGGCAGGGUAGCCUAGUGGUUAGAGUGUAGAGGUGGCAGGGUAGUCUAGUGGUUAGAGUGUAGAGGUGGCAGGGUAGUCUAGUGGUUAGAGUGUAGAGGUGGCAGGGUAGUCUAGUGGUUAGAGUGUAGAGGCGGCAGGGUAGCCUAGUGGUUAGAGUGUAGAGGCGGCAGGGUAGCCUAGUGGUUAGAGUGUAGAGGCGGCAGGGUAGCCUAGUGGUUAGAGUGUAGAGGGGGCAGGGUAGCCUAGUGGUUAGAGUGUAGAGGCGGCAGGGUAGCCUAGUGGUUAGAGUGUAGAGGCGGCAGGGUAGCCUAGUGGUUAGAGUGUAGAGGCGGCAGGGUAGCCUAGUGGUUAGAGUGUAGAGGCGGCAGGGUAGCCUAGUGGUUAGAGUGUAGAGGCGGCAGGGUAGCCUAGUGGUUAGAGUGUAGAGGGGGCAGGGUAGCCUAGUGGUUAGAGUGUAGAGGCGGCAGGGUAGCCUAGUGGUUAGAGUGUAGAGGCGGCAGGGUAGCCUAGUGGUUAGAGUGUAGAGGCGGCAGGGUAGCCUAGUGGUUAGAGUGUAGAGGGGGCAGGGUAGCCUAGUGGUUAGAGUGUAGAGGCGGCAGGGUAGCCUAGUGGUUAGAGUGUAGAGGCGGCAGGGUAGCCUAGUGGUUAGAGUGUAGAGGCGGCAGGGUAGCCUAGUGGUUAGAGUGUAGAGGGGGCAGGGUAGCCUAGUGGUUAGAGUGUAGAGGCGGCAGGGUAGCCUAGUGGUUAGAGUGUAGAGGCGGCAGGGUAGCCUAGUGGUUAGAGUGUAGAGGCGGCAGGGUAGCCUAGUGGUUAGAGUGUAGAGGCGGCAGGGUAGCCUAGUGGUUAGAGGGGGGCUAGCAGGUAGCCUAGUGGUUAGUGUAGAGGCGGCAGGGUAGCCUAGUGGUUAGUGUAGAGGUGGCAGGGUAGCCUAGUGGUUAGAGUGUAGAGGCGGCAGGGUAGCCUAGUGGUUAGAGCGUUGGACUAGUAACCGGAAGGUUGCAAGUUCAAACCCCCAGAGCUGACAAGGUCUGUCGUUCUGUCCCUGAACAAGCAGUUAACCCACUGUUCCUAGGCCAUCAUUGAAAAUAAGAAUUUGUUCUUCAUUAAUUAACUGACUUGCCUAGUUAAAUAAAGGUAAAGAAAAAAAAACACAGCAAUGUAUCUACACACACACACAUAGGGGUCUGUCCCUUUUAUAUCGUUUGUGUGCUAUAAUAUUUAAGAUGGAGCAUCUGGCUCUUACGACCAAUGUAAGUGAAUAAGGGGUGUUAUAUGACCUGGCAGUGUGGGGCUCUUGUAAAUAACAGAGGAAUAAGGGGUGUUAUAGGGCCUGGUGAAGAUAUGACCUGGCAGUGUGGGGCUCUUGUAAAUAACAGAGGAAUAAGGUCUGUUAUAGGGCCUGGUGAAGAUAUGACCUGGCAGUGUGGGGCUCUUGUAAGGGAGGCAGAGGACCUUCUCAGGUCUUCUCUAGCGUUAGUCCAACGGUUCUCAACCCGUUUUGGUUACCGUACCACCAAGAACAUUUCUCUGCCCAGAGUCCUCCUUAUUUUAACAGUACGCCGAUUAUCUCGAGUCUUCCCAAGUACCCACUGUGUAUUGCAGUCUUAUUUAAUGCUCACACAAACCUUUUGCUUGAUUAAAAAAAAAAAAGAAGGAAAAUAAAAUACCAAAACAGGCCAACUUCUGAGAAUGUUUAUGGAUGAGUUUUCCAGUUCCCGUGGAACAUUCUCCUCUGUGUGAUAGUCCCAAUAGACAACAGCUGAUCACAGAUUGAGACAAUGCAGUUUAAAUGAAGGGGGGGGGGGGUUUCAAAAUAUGACUCAACAGACUAGCGUUCAUCAAACGGUUUAAAAACAUGUCCAUGUCAUUCUAGAUAUCUUGUUUAAUUUGGACCAUGAUAUGAGGACUCUUUAAAAACAGAGUGUCUGUGGAUCGGACGUUUUCUUCCCAGGGUUAAAGGUUCUGUGGGGAUUCUCUACUUCCACAGUGUCCGCAGGCAACUCUGAAUGGUUAUCGUUGAAUAAAAGUCAGAUCAAAGCCGAAUCACAGUUUGGAAGAUCACAUGAUAUAAUAGUAUGUUACUGUAUGUUUUGUUAAGGCAAAAAAACAAUUUUAAAAAACCACCUGAUUUCAGGAUAACUGUU